AUCUAUGGCCAUGCCACCCCGAAUGUGCCCGAUCUCGUCUGAUCUCAGAAGCUAAGCAGGGUCGGGCCUGGUUAGUACUUGGAUGGAAGACCAGGUGCUAUAGGGG
rnacentral:rRNA from 1 species